CUACGGGCGGCUGCAGUGGGGAAUAUUGCACAAUGGGCGCAAGCCUGAUGCAGCCAUGCCGCGUGUAUGAAGAAGGCCUUCGGGUUGUAAAGUACUUUCAGCGGGGAGGAAGGGAGUAAAGUUAAUACCUUUGCUCAUUGACGUUACCCGCAGAAGAAGCACCGGCUAACUCCGUGCCAGCAGCCGCGGUAAUACGGAGGGUGCAAGCGUUAAUCGGAAUUACUGGGCGUAAGGCGCACGCAGGCGGUUUGUUAAGUCAGAUGUGAAAUCCCCGGGCUCAACCUGGGAACUGCAGCUGAUACUGGCAAGCUAGAGGCUCGUAGAGGGGGGUAGAAUUCCAGGUGUAGCGGUGAAAUGCGUAGAGAUCUGGAGGAAUACCGGUGGCGAAGGCGGCCCCCUGGACGAAGACUGACGCUCAGGUGCGAAAGCGUGGGGAGCAAACAGGAUUAGAUACCCCGGUAGUC
rnacentral:rRNA from 1 species